CCCUGGACCUAAACUGCCUGGGUUAGAAUAAGAAUCCCCUCUGCCAUUUACUAACGGUAGGACAUUGGGUAAAAAUAAUUUUAAGCUUAAGGUGACUCAAUAUAUAUGGGGGUAAUUAGAACAACAAUAGUUCACGUGUGUAUUAUGAGGAACACCUGAGUUAACAUCUGGAAAGGACUCAGAAAUGUAUCUGGGUGUUUGCAAAAAAAAAAAAAAAAAAUUAAAUAAACAAAGAUGAGAAGGAUUGUGUGCUAUCUGCUCGCAGUUUCACUGAUUUUUGUGGGCCCUAGGGACUUUUGCCUUCCUGGGCCUCUCCCUCCAUUAAAAUAAUAAAAUUAAUAACGUUAUUAAAAUUACACAAACGUAAAUGUAUUAACAUUACAUACUAGAGCCUUUUGGUCAACUUCACAGUUAAUAUUUAUCUUCUGAUUUCAGAGAAAAUGACAAAAUUUUCAUGAGCCAUUGAAAGUACUGUGGGGCCUGGGCUCUGUGCCGACCGUGCCUAAAGGAUUUAGACCUGCGUGCACCCGAAUAUGCAAUUAAAAAGCAUGGUUAUCCGAGUAGGAAAUAAAAUUACCCACAUACACAGACAUAGGUACACGCAGUGCUCACACGAAAUCCCCUACAAUUACGAGGACGGUAAACAGGGGUUGUGCAAGCCGGGCGUCCUGCGCGGCCACUGCGAGGGUGUCCUCGGCCACUGGGCAGCGAGGCCGGGCCAGCUCGGAAACCGCCGGAGAGGAGGCCGACCAGGGAAGCUGCUGCCUCGCGGCUCGGUCCGCGCACCGCUCGGUUCCGCGCUCUCAUCUGCGGACGGCCCGCUGGAUUGUUGCGAACGUCCAGCGGCCGCGCGGUGAGGCCGGGUCGCCACGGUUUGCGCACCAGAAAGGGACGAAACGGGAAACAGCCUGCUGGCGGCGACGCCACCAACCGAGAAAACGAACGACCCCACCGCGGAGCCCGAAAAACGAAAGAUGGCGCAGGCGCAACGUGAGGCUCGUUGGGGGCGGGACGCGUGCCGCGAAAACGGUCCAAUCAGGGGGCGUCAUGGACGGGCGUUGCAGGAAGGCCCACUGACGGAACCAGCGUGGGGGGCGCGGCAGGACAGACCAAUGAGAAAGCUGGCGUGUGGGGGCGUCGCAGGACGGGCCAAUGAGAGAGCCGACGAGGGGGCGUGGCUAUGAGACUGGCGGUGCGGAGGCGGGGCCUGCCGGGCCACAGGGUCAUUUCCACGCCUGCGUGGACGCGGAGGAUGCAGGACAGUCGCUGCGAGUUUUUAGGACUUUCCAGUUCCAGUUUAGACCUGAAUGUGACUGGUUUGUGUUACUGUUUGGCAUUCGUAAUUCAAGGAAAUCCCUUCUUCUGGUUGAAAGCACGGUGUGAUUUCCUGGCCCUCCUGCAUCAGCAUCACCUGGAUAAUACAACCGGCAAAUAACCGGAUCCUGCUACAGAUCUGGUGCUGGAAGUGACACCUCAAAUGUCAGCUGAGCUAACCCAAGCUGCUUACCUUCAAGAUCGUUACCAGAGCCAAAACAGUGCUUAGGCUUUACCCGCUCAGACUUGGAUGCCAGAAGAUAAAGUGAAAAAUAAAUGUGUGUCUAAAAAGGAGAGAUCUCGGGGAAUGAUUUGGGUCAACAAGGAAUGUGGAAUUCCAUUUCUCCACAAAUUUUAUUGAUCCUAACAUCUCAUUUACAGACUUUUUGCCCUCCUCAUUUAGACUUCUCCAGCAAACAUAGUCCAUGGUAAAUAAUGAUUCUCUGUAGGCCUGUAACAGCAGUAAAUUCUAUUUUCAUAAUUAAAACAACAAAUAAAACGAAAAUGCUAGAACACUGUUUAGUUUCUUCUUCUUCGCUAAGGCUCUCCUAAUGAAUCCGUGAACACCAAACCAGGAUGGGUUAAAUUCGGGCAGAAUAUUCAUACUAAUCAAUCCUUCUCAGGCAGAUCACUUUUCAUACUUCAUAAUUCUAUGGCUGAUUCACUUUUCAGUUACUGUUUGCAUUCAUUUCUUCUCUGCAUUCAUAUCUCUCCCCAGUUGAAGAAAUAAAAAGGGUUUCUUAGGUGCCAUUUUGCCAUCAGCCUUACUAUUUGAUGUACAAGAAAGAUGUUUUUUUGUUUUGUUUUGUUUUGUUUUUUACAUGUGCUUGUAUAAUGAAUCUCUGCUCCAAUAUUACCUACACUUUAGUCAUUUUUAGCAUGAACACAUAAUGACUCAAACCAGUAAAGAGAAACCUGGACAAUAAGAUCUUUGUUCCAAAUCCUCCAGUUAUCCUUCCACAGGUGGAAUUCAAGCAGUUCAAAGGCUUGCAUUUUCUUUUAGUUUCUGACCUGAAGAGAAUUGGCCCCUCUGAUUUCAUUUUAAUUCAAUGACUAAAGAAAUCUAAUACUUGUUAACAUUGGCUAAGCACUUACAAAAUUAUUUCAAGACUGAUUUAAGAGCUUUGCAUGAAUUAUCUUACUUAAUCCUUAAAAUAGCUCUAAGAAGUAGUAUACUCUUAUUUUUGUUGUGUAGAUGUGGAAAGUGAGACUCAGGAAUGCUGUCUGUCAUUCUUUUGAGCCAUUGCAACAACUCACCUCUGGCCCCUGUCCCUGUUGUUAUAUGUGUACUUUAACUCGUUAUGAUUGCUGUAAAUCCUGAGAGCCUACUGUGUGUCUGGAACAGCCUUAGGCAUUGGGGAGUCAGCAGCAAAAAGGACUAACUCUGCCCAAUGGAGCUUAGAGCCUGGAGAAUGGGAAGAGGAAACCAGCAAUAUGCAAAUUCAUGUCAGUUAUGCUAAGGGUAAUGAAGAAGAAUGAACAGAGCAAGUUAAGAGCCGGAUUGAAGGGCGCCAUGUGCAUUUGCUGGUCAGAGAGUGUCUCCCAGAUGUGGUAACAUUGUAAUCAUCCACUCACCCCCAAACCCAAGAAAUCUGGGGCGUAUUUGAGGUAUGUAAAAUGUUCUAUUCCCAGCUGAAGGGUCAAACUCAUAACAAGGUCUAGCUCUUCAUCUCCCUCUUUUCCCUCUGCUUUCUCCAACUAUCUUCCUCUGUGCCUUCCCCUUGGUCUUCAGGCUCUGACGCUCCCUUUUGCAGUAGCCAUUUGCUUCUUUCAUUCUUUUUCUCAGCUCUCACCUUCUUCCUUCUCCCUAUUCCUAAAAAAUAGCCACCAUUUGGCUGUGAUACUUUUAUUGUUUUGUAUUUAUGAAAUGCAGCUUAACAUUCACAGUUAAACUUUUAGACAAAAUUCGAAAACGUUAGUCCUUCACUUUUCUACAAUUCCUGUUCCCUUUCCACGGUAGCAAUUUCAUGGUGAACGGAAAGGUCAGUCAAGUGCCUCUGUCCAUGUAAAGCAAAGGGAGCGUUUUCUUCUAUGUAGCGCUGUGUGCCCGCGCCACCAAAAUGAAGGUUAAGAACUCUGAACUUUCCCCAGCGUGAUCUCCACCUCUCCUAAGUCUUCUUUGCUGCCGCCAAGGUGUGGAGGGCAGUGGGAGUAUAAGUCAAGGAGGAGACUGCUGAAGUUGUUCAUCUGAAUAAAGUACAAAAACAUUGCCUUCAAUUAGAAAUCUCCUUAUAACUUUUGGGUCCACAGUUGAUCUAAAUAAACCCAAACCAUUGACAGAACCAUCAAAAAAGAAAA